rnacentral:rRNA from 1 species
UACAGAGGGUGCAAGCGGUGUCCGGAAUCACUGGGCGUAAAGCGCGCGCAGGCGGUCAUCUACGUCUGGGGUGAAAGCCCGGAGCUCAACUCCGGGAUUGCCUUGGAUACGGGAUGACUUGAGGAUCGGAGAGGCAAGGGGAAUUCCACGUGUAGCGGUGAAAUGCGUAGAGAUGUGGAGGAACACCUGUGGCGAAGGCGCCUUGCUGGCCGAUUUCUGACGCUGAGGCGCGAAAGCGUGGGGAGCAAACAGG